CGCAUCUUGAUGGUUGAAAACUCUUUGUUUCUCUCAAGAUCCUCUUAGAGAAGAAGAAAAGAAUAGAAGGAUGAAGAUCUCUACGCUAGAGAUCAUGAGAAGAAUACUUUCUUCUCUUUCUUUUCAAAACCCAUGCACAAAAUCUCUAUGCUAGAGAUCUAAAAAAAUAUGUCCAACUCUGAGACAAAGUAGAGAGAAAAUUUCAUGUCCAAAUUUGGGUAAAAGAGGGAGAG
rnacentral:lncRNA from 1 species